GCGGCCGAUGGGCAAACCCGGCGAAAGCCGGGGACGCAAAGCUUCCGGGCUACGGGCGGCAACGCCUACGCCAGCGGGGUUGCCGCC
rnacentral:ncRNA from 1 species